UGGCUCGUAGCUCAAGCAGGCAGAGUAAGGGACUUUUACUCCCUGGGUUGUGAGUUCGACUCUCACCGGGCCAA
rnacentral:tRNA from 1 species